GUGGGCAGGCUGGAGAAGAACUCGAAACCUGGCAGAAGAGAAAAACGCCAUUAGCCAACCAUUUACUGAGGACCUACUGUGUGUCGAACAUUCUGCUAAAUGCUGGGGAUCCUGUUAGCCAACAAAAGACACUGUCCAUCAUGGUCCAGACAGUUCAAUACCACACGACUUAGAACAGCUCCUUGAUGGAAAAUAAUGCCUGAGACGAACCUCCACGAUGUUUCCAGGCUAAGACAGAGAAGAAGCCAGGCUUGGACGGCAGUCAGCAACAGGAGGCCAAGAGGAGAGAGGUCUAGGAGCUAAGCCAGGAGAGGAUUUCAAGACAAAGAAAAGCAGUGAGAAGGACUGGUGAGAUGGUGAGCAGCAGGCCCCUGCUGAUGGACCAGCCCAACAAGUUCAAGGCUAGACCAGGACGUGACAGACAACAGUUCUGGGCCAAUCAAACUGACCAACCCUAAGUUUGGGGAGGAAGACUCUUCAUGUGCUUUAAAAAACCCAAGCUCUUGAGAAAGAACUGGAAUGUUUUGGCUUCCCAGGAGGUGGUGGUUGGCAGAGUAGAUCGUCAGUUGGGUGCUGCUGAUGGCAACUGUAGGACUAAAUGCCAACGGAGAGGAAGGAGUAGUUGGACCCCGCCUGGAUGUGGCCUCACUCCUCCCCAGUCUGCUGUCGAGCUCCUUUCCGACCCGAGAUGCCUUACCUGGCCAUGUCCUGCAUCUUCGCCUUCAUCCUCAGCUCUGGCAUGGUCUGUGGGACCUGGGGUUGAGGGCCUUUGGCAAUUGUGUUUUAUCGAAGAACUGUGAUGUCUGUGUGAAUAAUAGAGUAGGUGGCUCUAGGGUCCACAGGUGAUACUGCAUUCCUGCAUGCAUCCUUACUCUAAGGCUUCUGGGAGAGAAAUGGUUUGUGAUGGCGCUCUCUCUCUCUGCCCUUCUCUGUUCCCUCCCUUUCCCUGCCUCUACUCCCUUCUCACCCCCCACCCUCCC